rnacentral:rRNA from 1 species
AGUAACGGCGAGUGAAGCGGCAACAGCUCAAAUUUGAAAUCUGGCUCUUUCAGAGUCCGAGUUGUAAUUUGCAGAGGGCGCUUUGGCUUUGGCAGCGGUCCAAGUUCCUUGGAACAGGACGUCACAGAGGGUGAGAAUCCCGUACGUGGUCGCUAGCUAUUGCCGUGUAAAGCCCCUUCGACGAGUCGAGUUGUUUGGGAAUGCAGCUCUAAAUGGGAGGUAAAUUUCUUCUAAAGCUAAAUAUUGGCCAGAGACCGAUAGCGCACAAGUAGAGUGAUCGAAAGAUGAAAAGCACUUUGGAAAGAGAGUCAAACAGCACGUGAAAUUGUUGAAAGGGAAGCGCUUGCAGCCAGACUUGCUUGCAGUUGCUCAUCCGGGCUUUUGCCCGGUGCACUCUUCUGCAGGCAGGCCAGCAUCAGUUUGGGCGGUGGGAUAAAGGUCUCUGUCACGUACCUCUCUUCGGGGAGGACUUAUAGGGGAGGCGACAUACCACCAGCCUGGACUGAGGUCCGCGCAUCUGCUAGGAUGCUGGCGUAAUGGCUGUAAGCGGCCCGUCUUGAAACACGGACCAAGGAGUCUAACAUCUAUGCGAGUGUUUGGGUGUCAAGCCCGAGCGCGUAAUGAAAGUGAACGGAGGUGGGAACCCGCAAGGGCGCACCAUCGACCGAUCCUGAAGUUUACGGAAGGAUUUGAGUAAGAGCAUGGCUGUUGGGACCCGAAAGAUGGUGAACUAUGCUUGAAUAGGGUGAAGCCAGAGGAAACUCUGGUGGAGGCUCGCAGCGGUUCUGACGUGCAAAUCGAUC